UGCAGGUCGUCCUAAUAAACGUUUAUCACAUGACUACUCUAUGGAAACCGCUGAUGGCAUGCGCCACACUAUUGCAACUACAACUAUUGAAUGUGACCUUGGAGUUCUCAUAUCAAACGAUCUGAAAGUCAGAGCACAAGUUGAAAAAGCAGCAUCCACAGCCAAUCGCAUGUUAGGAAAGCUAAAAAAAGCUUUCCAGAGUAGAAAUUUAACCUUGUGGCGCACACUCUAUAUGUCUUAUGUCCGGCCACAUCUAGAAUUCGCCAUUCAAGCCUGGUCACCGUAUCUCGAAACAGACAAUAAGUUACUUGAGGAUGUUCAAGACCGCGUCGCUAGACAAUAUCAUCUAUCAUCAAUUUUGAUAAAAUAAAGCGUCUGCAGGUACUCAAACUAACCACCCUCGAAGAACGUCGUUUACGUAGUGAUAUAAUCGAACAAUUCGUGUCUAAACAUAAUUAUUAUGUAUUAUGAUAAUACUAUAAUAUGCGUUAUAUUUCUUAAUUUUAUUAUGAGAGGAGAUUUAUUAGGAUAGUAUUCUAAGAUGCUACUCUAAGAGAUUUAUUAGAAUAAUAUUCUUUUUUUAGGUUUCUUCUUGUUGUCCCUGGCCACUAGCAUUAUGUUUUGUUGCAUGUUAUCAGACUUGUAUGGUCACUACUUUUGAAGCCUUUCUGACUGAACAAUACCCAGCUGUUUGUCAUCAAUGCCAUUUAUAUCAUGUGAUGUAACACUGACUGCUAUCACUUUAAAAAAAAAGUUAGUUAAAGUCUUCUUCAAUCUGUUUCACUCAUUUAGUACGAAUCAGCAGUGAACUUAUACAGAAAUUAUCAAACAAGUUGGAAGACUAAAAACUUUGAUACACUCAAAAAGUCACUUUUCAAGUUUAAUUAUUUCCUUUCGAAAUUGAAUAUACAAUCAAUACCAAAUUAGAGUCACAAAGUAAAUUUAACUUUCUUAAAGCAAUAUUUUAAAUAAAAAAAAUUUAGAAGAAAACUUGUGAUUGUUGUGUUGUUUCUUCUUCCUAUAAAUUAACCUUAUUAUUUAGCAACUAAAUUUUCUUUUUAAUUUAUAAUGUAUUUUAAAAGAAAAAUUUGAAAGAAAAAAUGUUGUAUUUUAUAAUAUUAAAAAAAAAGAACAGGCUAAAACUUUUCUAUAUUA